rnacentral:rRNA from 1 species
GAACGCUGGCGGCAUGCCUUACACAUGCAAGUCGAACGGCAGCACGGGAGCAAUCCUGGUGGCGAGUGGCGAACGGGUGAGUAAUAUAUCGGAACGUGCCCUGGAGUGGGGGAUAACGUAGCGAAAGUUACGCUAAUACCGCAUACGAUCUAAGGAUGAAAGCGGGGGAUCGCAAGACCUCGCGCUCGUGGAGCGGCCGAUAUCUGAUUAGCUAGUUGGCGGGGUAAAAGCCCACCAAGGCGACGAUCAGUAGCUGGUCUGAGAGGACGACCAGCCACACUGGGACUGAGACACGGCCCAGACUCCUACGGGAGGCAGCAGUGGGGAAUUUUGGACAAUGGGGGCAACCCUGAUCCAGCAAUGCCGCGUGUGUGAAGAAGGCCUUCGGGUUGUAAAGCACUUUUGUCAGGAACGAAACGGCACGGGCUAAUACCCUGUGCUAAUGACGGUACCUGAAGAAUAAGCACCGGCUAACUACGUGCCAGCAGCCGCGGUAAUACGUAGGGUGCAAGCGUUAAUCGGAAUUACUGGGCGUAAAGCGUGCGCAGGCGGUUUUGUAAGACAGAUGUGAAAUGCCCGGGCUUAACCUGGGAACUGCAUUUGUGACUGCAAGGCUAGAAUCUGGCAGAGGGGGGUAGAAUUCCACGUGUAGCAGUGAAAUGCGUAGAGAUGUGGAGGAAUACCGAUGGCGAAGGCAGCCC